CCUACGGGAGGCAGCAGUGGGGAAUAUUGGGCAAUGGGCGCAAGCCUGACCCAGCAACGCCGCGUGAAGGAAGAAGGCUUUCGGGUUGUAAACUGCUUUUAUAAGCGAGAAAUAUGAUGGUAACUUAUGAAUAAGGAUCGGCUAACUACGUGCCAGCAGCCGCGGUCAUACGUAGGAUCCGAGCAUUAUCCGGAGUGACUGGGUGUAAAGAGUUGCGUAGGUGGGAUAAUAAGUAGCUAGUGAAAUCUGGUGGCUCAACCAUUCAGACUAUUAGCUAAACUGUUAAGCUCGAGACCGUUAGGGGUAACUGGAAUUGCUAGUGUAGGAGUGAAAUCCGUAGAUAUUAGAAAGAACACCAAUAGCGUAGGCAGGUUACUGGGACGGUUCUGACACUAAGGCACGAAAGCGUAGGGAGCAAACGGGAUUAGAUACCCUUGUAGUC
rnacentral:rRNA from 1 species